rnacentral:tRNA from 1 species
UCCCUGGUGGCUCAGAUGUUAGUAAAGUGUCUGUCUACAAUGCAGGAGAACCCAGGUUCGAGCCCUGGGUUGGGAA